rnacentral:rRNA from 1 species
AUUGAACGCUGGCGGCAGGCCUAACACAUGCAAGUCGAGCGGAGCGGCGGACGGGUGAGUAAUGCAUAGGAAUCUGACUGGUAGUGGGGGAUGACGUCCGGAAACGGGCGCUGAUACCGCACACUAUCAGAUGAGCCUAGGUCGGAUUAGCUAGUUGGUAGGGUAAAGGCGUACCAAGGCGACGAUCCGUACCUGGUCUGAGAGGAUGAUCAGUCACACUGGAACUGAGACACGGUCCAGACUCCUACGGGAGGCAGCAGUGGGGAAUAGUGGACAAUGGGCGAAAGCCUGAUCCAGCCAUGCCGCGUGUGUGAAGAAGGUCUUCGGAUUGUAAAGCCCUUUUAGUUGGGAGGCGGUACCAACAGAAUAAGCACCGGCUAACUUCGUGCCAGCAGCCGCGGUAAUUC